AUAGAGACUCAGAGCUGCAUAUCAAUAAGCGGAGGAAAAGAAACUAACAAGGAUUCCCUUAGUAACGGCGAGUGAAGCGGGAAGAGCUCAAAUUUGAAAUCUUCAAGGUUCUACCUUGACGAAUUGUAGUUUAUAGAAGUGUUUUCUGUUAGUGGAGUGGCAAAAGUUCUUUGGAAUAGGACAUCAUAGAGGGUGAGAAUCCCGUAUUUGGUCAUUCCUUCUAGCGUUGUGAUACACUUUCAAGAGUCGGAUUGUUUGGGAAUGCAGUCCAAAAUGGGUGGUAAAUUUCAUCUAAAGCUAAAUAUUGGCGAGAGACCGAUAGCGAACAAGUACCGUGAGGGAAAGAUGAAAAGAACUUUGAAAAGAGAGUUAAACAGUACGUGAAAUUGUCAAAAGGGAAGCGUUUGACACCAGUGUUGUUUUUCCGAAAAUCAAUUAAGAAUGUUUUAGUUUUUAAGAAGUUAUGACUUCAUCGGCUUGCUUCUCUCUUUAUGAAACUUUCUUAAUGCACUUUUCAGGUUAACAAGUCAACAUCAAUUUCUUUUGUUGUAAAAGGGUAUGAGGAAGGUGGCUUUCUCUUCGGCGCAAGUGUUUAUAGCCUUGUAGCUCUGCAAUCGGAGAGAUUGAGGUCUGCAGCGUAGAUCCUUCGGGGUUAGAUACAGUUGGUGCUAAGCUAUAGCCUUGUAUAGACAACUUGUUGACUAUGCUCUAGUCAUGUAGCUUACUCGCUUAUGCUAUUUUACCUACGCUUAGGAUGUUGACGAGACUGUCGAUCUC
rnacentral:rRNA from 1 species